GAAUAGCUGGUUGCUAGGUAACAGCUUACAGCACACAGACAUAGGAUCUGGGCUUCUGCCCUUACAGGGAUAAAGGCAAUGGUUUUGCACAGAUUCCCUACAUUAGAAACACCCAAAGCUGGAGUUAUACAUUGGUAUCUAAAGUACUAUGUUUUCUUUUGGAAGGUGAAGGUAUGAAGAAGACAGGAAUCUUGGGCACUGGUGCACAAUCUCAUGGCUGGAGCCCUCCAAGAAAAAAAAGUGAGAUCAAUUACACAGCGGUAAAACAUCUUCUGUGGGGCUGUGGUAACUACAACCUGAGAGAGACUAUUCAGGCCAAGGCAAAAGACAAGGAAGCAGAAAAGGUCAAUAUGAGGGAGAUGCCAACAUCCCUGGAUAGUGACUCAGACGUGCUCUCCAAUGGUGUGAUGACUUUACCUCUCGGUAGGACAGAGGUACAAGAAGGAUGGGAACCUUUGGUAGAGGUGGGACAUCGCUUGAGACCUUCAAUCAGAAAGGGAGAUGUAUGAAAGAGCAGCAUAAUGGCUACUGUGGGUCCGUCACUGUCAAACGCACACUGGGAGAGAAUAUUGAUGCCAGCAUUAAAGAUGGUAGAAUGGGACUCCCUCAGCAACUGGUGCAACAUCCCAGGGCAGAAAAUAUCAUUAUGGGAGGACUGGGGAAACAGGCAGACUACAGACAACUCAGGAUAAAUACACAGAAGUACAUCCUGGCAUUUGGCCGCACGACUAACUGACAGUUAAAUAACGGAUUUCUCACUUUCAUUUCUGGGAUCAGAGGUGAGUGAAUGCACAGCACACACUGGGGGUCAAUU